CAGACUGCACAAUGAUUUGAAACUUGUUGCCGGUUUGUAGAUGUUUUGUGUAGGUGGAGUGGGUGUAGUUGUGAAUUGAAAUAUUCGGCUGUAGAUAUCGAUAUGUGUUUAUUGUAGGGGUGAAGUGGUGCAGCAAUUAAUUCGUAUAUGUAUAUACAAGAUUAAUGUGGAUAAGAUUAAACAUUAAGUUUAGAAAAGAAAGCUAAGUUCCUUAUUAGAUAUGCCCUACAUGUUCAAGGAAAGGCCAAAGAGUUUACUGUUCUCUGACAAUAUGUCUAGACUCAUCACUCCUUUAAAAACUAAAAGUAUGUGGGGUGAUGAUUAGUGAGUAUUGUUUCCUACAAUGGGACACAAGGAACACUUAGAAAGCCUACCAUAAUUUCCAAG